rnacentral:rRNA from 1 species
UACGAAGGGGGCUAGCGUUGUUCGGAAUUACUGGGCGUAAAGCGCGCGCAGGCGGCCAUUCAAGUCAGGGGUGAAAGCCCAGAGCUCAACUCUGGAACUGCCCUUGAAACUGUAUGGCUUGAGUAUGAGAGAGGUGAGUGGAAUUCCCAGUGUAGAGGUGAAAUUCGUAGAUAUUGGGAGGAACACCAGUGGCGAAGGCGGCGACCUGGGCAGAUACUGACACUGAGGUGCGAAAGCGUGGGGAGCAAACAGG